GACACGGCGAUAAAGCUCUAGACUUGUGAUACUGCAGUUGCUGGACACAGUCAUUGUCAUGCUGUGCAGAAGUUGUGUGAUGCUCUGAGACCUGGAAUAGGAAAAGGCAUGGAGAGAGUUGGAUUCUGUGGAUGUAAAGCGGACAGACACACCUGAAAGAGAGAACACCAGUGCAAAACAAGGAACUUGCCAUUAAGGGCUGCAUGAGAUGGCUCCUGCUCAAGGCAGGCAUUCUGCCACCCUGCCAAGUCCAUCAGAUGAGACUGAAGUGGUGAAACCCUACAGCUUUCAGAGGUUUAGGAAGGAACACCAUGACCGAACAGGCCUGAUUAAGCAGUUAUUUGCCUCUGCAAGCAACUCAGACCUCCCUGUGGUCAGCUGGUGAGAGCACUUGCUGCAAAAUCAGACCUCAGUGACUGAUAAACGCACAAAUAAAUAACUCAGUUGGUGGGGGAUAUGUAAGUGUCUUAGGCACUCACAGGCACUGACGCGACUCCUGCACAGAGCUGUCUCCAGUUCUUGUGUGCUCAGCUCUGGGUUUCCCAACAGAGGCUUGCUGCUCGCUGCCUGCACGCUGGAGGGAAGCUGUUGGCUGUCACCUGAGGAAAACCUCUCUGAACUAUGGUAAGUAGCAGUAGGGAAAUAGCUUACAUCAAAGGCUGAAGCUGCCGCAUUGUUAUGCUCAUUAACUGCAUCAGGCAGAUGUCUUUGCUGGCAUGGCUGAUGCCCAGACUGCUUUCAUCAGCCCUGGUCUGCAGUGCCAGCAGCAGCCUCUGUGCUCGAGUACAAGGCAGG